GUGAAUCAUCGAAUUUUUGAACGCAAAUUGCACUCUCUUCGGAUACGAUGCCUGUUUGUGUGUCAGCGUAAUAAAAAUCGACAUAUUCUCUGUUUCGCGGUUUCAUUCGUCGGUUAUUUGUUCGUCUUUAUCCUUGCUGUUUUAGGCGACUUAAAAUUUUCUUUACGAUUCUACGAGCUUUUCUAACUUUGACUUACAGUGUGAAAGUAAC
rnacentral:misc_RNA from 1 species